rnacentral:tRNA from 1 species
GAUGGUAUUGCUCAGUGGUAGAGCACUUACCUCGCAUGUGCCGUGACUGUCCUGGGUUCAAUCCCAGCACCAUAA